GUUCUUAACAAUCCAAUCCACACGCUCUUCACAUUCUAAUAUUUGCUCUUUUCACAUUUCUAAAACUUCCCUUUUCACUAUCUCGUAUUAGCAGUCUUCACACUUUGAUACUCUUCCUCUCCACAUUCCCAAACACACUCUCUUCAUAUUCCCAUACCUGCCCCAUACAUUUUCCCAUCCUUUUCACAUGCAUAUAACCCCCUUUUCAGAUUCCAAUCACUCUCUUCACAUCCCCUAAUCACUUUCUUCACAUCCCCACUACCACCCUCUUCAUAAUCCCAAAUUCCACCUCUCCACCAGUCAAUCCUCAGCUUGUUCACAUUUGCAGCCUUUACUUACUUAUAACCUUCACCUUUUCAUAUCCAUAGCUUAAUUUCAUUCUAUAACCAUCUUUACAGGUCCCUACUUGCCCUCCUCACAUUUCAUAUUCCUCCAUACACAAUUCCAUACAAUGCAUUAGCAUACUUUUCUCACUCCUAAACUCUCCUUCUUCCUAUCCACGUCCUCCCUCUUCACAUUCUACUAGCUCUUCAUAAUCUUGUACUGUCAAUCUUCUGUUCAUGCCCUGCUUCUAAAUAUUCCCAGUUUUUGUCUUCAAACUCGCAUAGUAUUCAUAGUUUAUCCAUAGCCUCCAUCUUUACAGUAAUGUACUCUUACCCUUUUUCUUAUAUACUCCCCUUCAAUUUUUUCAUAUGCACACAUUCACCUUCUUCACAUUUUCAUACCUUAACUUUUC